GCAGCCUUAGAACACUGCCUUCAGCGUCUGUCAGACCAGAAGGCUCUGCAAAAAUGGGAGCCUUUAAGCAACUCCUAUCAACAACGCCCAUCUCAGCCAUCUUCCAUGACUCAGGAAUCUGUUUCUGGAUGGCAGCGUCUAUUUUCCGCUUUAGUUCCCAGCAGGAAUCUCAAACCUUGGGAUGUAGCCAUGAUUUGGACUGUUUGUGUGCCUUCAGAUCAGAUUCCUGAAGCUUGCAGCAUCUCCUGAGCCACCAGAGAAUUGCCAUCUCUUACUCCGUGCUAGCUGAGUCAAAACCACCAUCUACUAAUGAUCA